AGCUCAGAGUGUGUGUUUAGACAAAUGUGUGUGGUUGUCUGUGGUUUAUGGCUGUCUUUUGUGAGAAACGUCAGAAACUUCAUCAACAAGUGGUCCCAAAAGGAAAUGGAGGAAAUGGAUUGUGCAGAUGUCCUGAGAAUUUCCCUCCUCCUCACUGAAUUUCCAGCUCCAAGUUUUCAGACCACAGCAAACCUAUUCACUCUCUCAGCUACAUAGGCCCAUUAAAGUGGAACCAGAGGAGCUGCUGUUCUGGAACAUGAGAGGAAGCGAGGAACUUUAAUGGCAUCAACAGAUGUGCAGAUCGUUUUUCCUUCAGAAGAAAAUGUAAACAGUGCACAUACGAGAACGCAAACGCAUACAGGUACCAUCUGUGCCUGAACAUUUCAGCUUAUUACAAGGAUACUUCUAAACUUUAAAGAUACAAUAUUUACCCGCAUUAGAUGGAAAAGGACCACAGACAUAAACUGCUUCAGACUUUGGUGGACCGCCAUAGGGAGAUGCA